UCCCCCUGGAAAGAGACACUUUGUUGUUGUUGGUAUUCUUAUAUCAGUCAGGGGCAGAGAACAAAGAGCAGUCCUUUUUUAUCCUAGGUUGAUGCCUGACUUGGUGACAAAAGUAUUUUAUGCCUAGGACUCAUAA
rnacentral:snoRNA from 1 species